GUUGAAAUGAGCUAAAACGGAGCGUUUCAGACAGAGCGUGAAUACAGGUUUGUAAACAUGCCUGCAACAAAACAACCAAGGACAGACUUAUCGAUGAAUGCCAAUUUUAUCCACAAGCAAGACAUAGAGAGGACUCAAUCAUCUCAACAAUAGUUUGAAUCUUCACUGUACUUGUUUAUGGUCCACGGCUAUGAAACACGCUCAUCUUCACUCCAGCUCUUCAUCUCAAGACUUGACUGUUUUUAAUUCUGUCAUCGGUGCAGACAAUAAAAAAAGAUAAAAGAA